GCGUUUGGCGUGGGCUUUCUCUUUAGCCUCGGCCGCCGUGGGGCUCAGAUUCAGACCUGUUUCUUCAAACGGGUCCAGGAGGAGUGUCCAACCCAAUAACACACAUCCAUCCCACCAACUCAACCCCGCCGACCUCUAAGAGAACAACUGCUGUUAUGAGGAACAGUCUGGGAUGGGUGGGAAGAACAAGCAUCGCUCUGUUCCCAUCAGUUCCACUCAUCUAAAUACCUCCAUACGGCUUUAUGGGCCACAAAUAAACCUCCCUGCUGAACCAUCGGUGUCAGUGUGUUUCCAUUGUCACACCCUCAGCUCUCUUCCUGUCAAUCCGGCUUUCAGAUCAUGGAUAAAUGUGGGAAACCAGUCGGGGAGAGCAACAGAUGCAACUCAGUGCAUUCCUCAAACUUCCUGUCCCAAUAAGACGCCGGCUUUGUGUUUGAAAGCAUGGGCUUGUAAAAUGAUACAGAUGCUUCUGAAUUAUUGACACUGGGACCUCUGGGAUUUCUGACACGUGACUGGUAUUAACCCUUUCUCCGGCAGGGCACUGACAGCAAAACAGAGCACAGCAUGAAUGAACGACACACUCAGACCUCAAACAGGUCGUGCUUUCAUGAAGCCCUAAAAAUAACAAUUGCAAGAUCAAGUGAUAGCAGUUUUGCUUCUAACAAAACAAGUGGUUCUUAUGAAGCAGUUCUAGAACAAAUGACUCUACUGAAUUGAUUCUUUUUAAUGAAUUAAAAACUUUGAAAACA